AUGCAUUCAAUUUAAAAAAUAAAAAAAAAAUUUAAAAAAAAAAAUUUAAUACCUUACCCUCCCCUUAAUCAUACCCGUCAUUUGCGAACUUCAUCAGAAACUUAACGUUUUAUCAUCAAAACUAAACUCGAAAACAGCUUCUGACCUUCUUCUUCUUUUACAAACACGGUUGCCUGAAAGAUUCUCUUCUUACGAAACGAGAACUACUGCACGCAUUGCCACUCUCAUUGACCCGAGGUUCAAAAGGAACGGAUUUUUGCCUCCUUUUAAUGCUAAACAAGCAGCAAUAGCUGUAGAAAAAGAAAUAUUCGCAAAUUUAAUUUCAAACACUUCACAGCAAAUUCCAACACCACCUUCAACACCACUGGAAUCAAAAACGAAAAUGUUUACAUAUCUAGAAAAUAAAGUGUCUCAACAAACAAACUCAUUUAAAGCAGAUAGCAUUAUUCUUCUAAGGCAGUACCUGAAAAAUCCAAAUGAGCCUGAGGAAAUUGAUCCUAUCUUGUUUUGAAAGGAAAAGACAGAUAUGAAAGCAAUACAAAGCAUUGCCAAAAAAUUUUUAUGCGUGCCAGCUUCCUCGGCAGAGUCCGAGCGUUCUAUUAGUAAAGCCGGCCAAAUAAUAUCGGAUCGUCGAUCCUCGUUGAAGUCGAAUAUAGUGGAUAUGUUAAUAUUUUUAAACAAAAAUCAAAUGUAAAAUGAUCUCUAAUUAAGUUUUUUUUUCUAAUUUUAAGUUUUCAUAAAUGAAUAUGUUAUCCAAUUUUAAGUUUUCAUAGAUAAAUAAGUUUUCUAAUUUUAAGUUUUCAUAAAUGAAUAUGUUUUCUAAUUUAAAGUUUUCAUAUAUGAAUAUGUUUUCUAAUUUUUAGUUUUCAUAAAUAAAAAUUAAGCAAAUAUAUUAUUAAAGAAAAGUACGAGCGAACUUAUUGGCAUAUUAAAUAGGUAUACUGCUUAUUCAAAAAAGUUGUAUAGAACAAUCGAUAGUAUCGAUGGUUUCAUAGAAAAACAAUCGAAAAAAUCGAUAGUGC